CCGCACCACCGAUUAAACAUGAAGUGUGGAUGUUAGAAGAUCCCAAAUAUGGAAAUAGUCAGGACCCAGAUGAACCUGUGCUGGAAUUCAGUGUGGGUGAGUAAUAUGAGCAUUUAUGAAGGCUGUCCAUGACCCGUAAUUAAAUUUAGCGUCAUUAGUCUUAUUUUGUCUCUCAGUGCAGGUAUGUAAUGUGACAAAACCUCUAAUGAUCUGAUAUGUUUGGGAUGGAUGGGCUGUGAAUUAUAUAGUGAAUUGUCUUAUUUUGUCGCUCUGUGCAGGCUAGGGCCUAUUAUAUGCUGUAGCCUGAAGGCAGCUGAGUUGCAGAGGAUGGAGUGAUCACUGGCUUUCUACUUACAGGGUGGUGGGUCUCAGAGGACAAUUGCUACCCCUGUUGAAGUGAACAACGUGUGGAGUGCAACUGGCUUUGUGGCAUAGCUGGCUCUGGCCUUGGACUGUGUGUUUUUACUUUGUACCUAAAUGGGACACUGGACUUGUAACUAUUAUUCAUUGUGUUUAUAAAUAAAAUUUUAGAAUUUUAUUGACUGUCAUCUUUUUGCCCACGGCGGAGACGGUUGGUCAGACCUGGAAUCUCUUUAUGUGUGUGUGUGUGUGUGUGUGUAACAUCAGCAGGGUUUUGCAUAAAAGAGUGUGAGCAGGUCAAAAGGUCAAUUCAUUUAUUGUAGUUUUAUGGCAGCACCUUCUAGUGGCCUUGAAGCAAACAGUCUCCUAACUAAGCCAUGGCAUCUCCGGUCUCUCCUACUUUUGUGUGCUGUGCUGGAGGAGCAGCAUUGGAUCUAGUGAUACUGAGUAAGCUGAUUAGGACCGGCCUGGAGAAAUGUGGUUUGCAUGAAGUAUCAGGAGAAAAACAACCUUGUAUUGUAAAAUAAUAAUACACGAAUAAUAAAUACUUUUCAUGACAUUCAGAUUUCUGGACUCACGAGUUCAUAGAACAUUAAUGUUACGAAACAUUGAGAUAAGUCUUAAAACUACAUUGUAUACUUAUUAUUUAUUUACUUUAAUCAGAUUUGACUGGUAUUUUUAAACAUUAAGUUUUUGUUCCUUCAACUAUUGUAUUUAAGCUUAUGACUCACUCACAGUAUGUUUAUAUAACUGUCUAAAAAACAGUGAGGAUGUGGCCGCAGUGGCUGAGAAGCAAGAAGUUUGCUUUUUCUUUUUUUUUUCUUUUUUUUAAAUUGGGAAGCAUAAAUGAACAUACCAGAAAACCCUGCACGAAGGAGCCAUAUUUGUUUUUUGUGUGUGCAUAAGAUGAAGCUUUAGUAUUAUUACACAUAUGAUAAUGGUGUUAGCAUGCAACACACAAACUCAAGUGGUGUUGCCAAGAUAGUUGCUGACUGGCAAGAAACUUCUAGAAGAAAUCUGGUGACAGUCCAAAGCACAAAUGAACAUGUUUAAUACUCGUGCAAGACCCUGUGGGAAGGUGCCAGAUUGCUGUAUUUUGUGUGAAUCAGGAAAAGUGCACGGUGAUGACUAAAGCUUAUAAAACAUCUCUCUCCUUAUGUGUGCAUAUAUGAGAAAGAAAAUUCUGCCAAAGCAACUUUAGCUUCUUGCAAGCAUCAGUACACAAAGGAUGCUAACACAAAGCUAGCCAAGAACCAAGAGUGAUUUUAAAGUUGAACGUAUGCCGACCCCAGCAGCCAAAGGGAGCUCAGGGGAGAGCUUCUUGGGGUCCAGUGAUGUGUCCUGAAGAGACGACAUGAGCUCUCCCUCCUGUAGGCCCACCCCAGCAGUAGGUGCUGUCUGUCUCAUUCCGAGUUAACUGCUACUCCUCUACA
ensembl:lncRNA